UCACGCCGCUGGUGCUUCCAGGAGUGCCCGGGGCUCUGGCUCUGCUUCGCCUUCGUCGUCGCGCAGAUCAGGUUCUCAUUCUGAAAGAAACUGCAACUAUGCAAGAGCUUAUUGACGGAGAUUAUGAAAUUUGCAGUUCUUGUUCUAGACAUCAGAUUGAUACUUUACCAAAGGUGCACCAACCGGACAUCCGUCUCCUAGGGUGAUGACGGAAUGACAUCGACAGCAGCAGCAAUUACACACAGGUGAUGGUGGAUUUGUCAAUUGACUUCAUAUCUCUAUCUCUACUACCUAAAAAAAUUGCAACAUUUCAUUCCCAUCUUCUGUCUUAUGUCGUUUCGUCCAACCGCACACGUUUCUCUGGCCGUAUGCUAGAUUGCAAGAAUUGGAACGUUUCCUACUGCGUUUUUAAUGAUGCAAUACGGUUAAAAACUUUUUAUUACUUGGGUCUGCUACCUCAGAUUGACACGUCAUGCUCGGGCAGUAAUAGUCUAAGCUUCAUCAUGUAAUAAGCUCCACCUGCGUGCACAGGUAAGUGGUUCUGGUACUGCUGCUAUUUUUGUUUGUUAUAUUUGCUGCCGGUCUGAUUGCUACUAGCUACUGUAUGUGCUUACCAUUUGGCUUUGAAGAGAUAUUUGCUCGAGGUUAUGCCAAUUAGUUUCAAAGCAGACUCCUCAAUUUGUAUUGUAUCUGAGAUCUAAUUUGUGCCAUAGAAUAUUAGCUUCUUCAUGGCAAUUUCAAUGUUACAUGUACCAUAGUAAGCCAAUCAAUAUCUGCACCAUAUUAGUCUGAUGCUUUCUUACCCUCUCAUCCUUAAUUAAUAGGCAUUUUCCAGAUCAAAUGUUGAUCAUUUCUUUCCUUCGAUGCAUGUCAACGUGAAAGUAUGUGCUCCAGGAAAUAUCCUACUCAUCAAUCGGAAUAGUUAUUGUCAUUCUACGAGCUAAAAGACGUCGGUCAUUCUAAAAUGUCUAACUAUACUUUUAGCAAAGCGGCAACACCUGAAGUGUGUCGAUAUCUGUAGAUAUUAUCUUCAAUUUGUACUUGGCCAUAGUGGGAUGCCAGGAAAUAUCCUACUCAUCAAUCGGAAUAGUUACUGUCAUUCUACGAGCUAAAAGACGUCGGUCAUUCUAAAAUGUCUAACUAUACUUUUAGCAAAGAGGCAACACCUGAAGUGUGUCGAUAUCUGUAGGUAAGAUUGUAGGAUGUCUUCUCGCUUUUUGCCCUUGUCAGGCUUUAUAUUUUUGUCCCUAUGAUCCAGGAUUAGUUUAGUAUCCAUCUAGAGAUAAGACUGUAAAAUGAAGUUUCUCUAUGUGAAGGUGAAGCUAAUGUUUUCCUUGCUACUUCAGCAAUUUUUUAUAUA